GCCCUCGUAGUUCAAUGGAUAGAACGGCGCCGUCCUAAGGCGAAAAUGGAAGUCCGAUUCCUCCCGAGGGCACAA
rnacentral:tRNA from 1 species